rnacentral:rRNA from 1 species
AGAGUUUGAUCAUGGCUCAGGAUGAACCCUGGCGGUCUGCUUAACACAUGCAAGUCGAACGGAAUCCUUAGGGAUUUAGUGGCGGACGGGUGAGUAACACGUAAGAACCUGCCUCUUGGACGGGGACAACAGUUGGAAACGGCUGCUAAUCCCGGAUAAGCCGAAAGGUAAAAGAUUUAUCGCCAAGAGAGGGGCUUGCGUCUGAUUAGCUAGUUGGUAGGGUAAGAGCCUACCAAGGCGACGAUCAGUAGCUGGUCUGAGAGGAUGAUCAGCCACACUGGGACUGAGACACGGCCCAGACUCCUACGGGAGGCAGCAGUGGGGAAUUUUCCGCAAUGGGCGAAAGCCUGACGGAGCAAGACCGCGUGGGGGAGGAAGGUUCUUGGAUUGUCAACCCCUUUUCUCAGGGAAGAAGAAAGUGACGGUACCUGAGGAAUCAGCAUCGGUUAACUCCGUGCCAGCAGCCGCGGUAAUACGGAGGAUGCAAGCGUUAUCCGGAA